rnacentral:lncRNA from 1 species
UACUGUCAUAAAUUUGAUGUUUUUUCAGCUCAAGGAAUCAUUGCAAAUAUUGAAACAGGCGUGUAACUGUAAAAUAGAGAUACAUAUGAUCCCUUGUGUGUGUGUGUGUGUGUGUGUGUGUGUGUGUGUGUGUGUGUGCAUGCGUGUGUGUGUGUGCAUGCGUGUGUGUGUGUGUGUGUGCAUGCGUGUGUGUGUGUGUGUGUGUGCAUGCGUGUGUGUGUGUGUGUGUGUGUGUGUGUGUGUGUGCAUGCGUGUGUGUGUGUGUGUGUGUGUGUGUGCAUGUGUGUGUGUGUGUGCAUGCGUGUGUGUGUGUGUGUGUGUGUGUGUGUGUGUGUGCAUGCGUGUGUGUGUGUGUGUGUGUGUGCAUGCGUGUGUGUGUGUGUGUGUGCAUGCGUGUGUGUGUGCAUGCGUGUGUGUGUGUGCAUGCGUGUGUGUGUGUGUGCAUGCGUGUGUGUGUGUGUGUGUGCAUGCGUGUGUGUGUGUGCAUGUGUGUGUGUGUGUGCAUGUGUGUGUGUGUGUGUGUGUGCAUGCGUGUGUGUGUGUGUAUCAAAUAGUUUUACAUGCUGGCAGAAGCUUCAAUAAAUCAUCUUUCGAUAUAUCAUGCCCAUCUGGCACUUCAAAGGUGAGACUUAAUGGUCUCAAUUCUUAUGUAAAUACUUCUUUCCAAAUUAUCUUUGGCAUAUCUGAAAUGUACAGGUAUGACAGGAGAAACAAGUGCAUAGCAAACCUAGUCACCACACUCAGUUUCAUUUCUCAGUCAUACCAAUUUCAUUUAACAACUCUCUUUUCUCAUCCUUUGAAGUCAGUCAAACAAAUCAUCCAUUUCAGUUUUGGAUACAUCAUCAUCAUCAUCAUCAUCAUCAUUUUAAUGUCUGCUUUCUCAUGCUUGCAUGGGUCAGAUAAAAUUCACUGAGGUAGAUUUUCUGCAGCUGGAUACUCUUCCUGUUGCCAACUAUCACGUUUCCAAGCAAGGUAUAAUACUUCCCCAUUGCUGAAUAUGUCCACAUGGAAAUUUGGGGAUGAAGAACACCACUUGUCUUACAGUGAAGCUCACUUAUAAGUAUCACAUGGUAUCAAGGAGACACAAACACACAGGACAAAUUUCUUACAGUUUCCAUUUACCAAAUCCACCCACAAACUUUUAGUCAAUCUGGGGCUAUUGGAGAAGACACUUUCCCAAAGUACCAUGCAGCUGGCUGAACCCAAAACCACAUGGUUGGUAAGUAAACUUCUUAAUCACAGAGACUAGUUAAAAAUAGUCAAAUAGAAAACUAAAAUGUUGCAUUUUUGACCAUUCCACCUUAAAGUAGAAUAGUAUACAUAUAUCAAUUUACUAUUCGUACAUGGCUCUAUAAAGUGGCCUCUCCCUCCAGCUGUCACAUUCUUGAUAUGCUGCUGGGUCAAAGACCACCAAGAGGUAUCUAUGUUUGUUCACAAGUUCAUAGGCCCUGACAAAAAGCAAAAAAAAAAAAAAAUUAAUUAAUUAGCUAAAAUAUGGUGCAUGCUACCAAAUCAUACUCGCUUAUGAGUGACAGCUGUGGUCUUAAAAAAUUAAUUAGCAAGUUUGGUUGUUUCUUGAUUACUCUACACACAAUUUGACAAUCUAUCUCAUUGGCAUUCAAAGACAACUUGCUUAACUGUGACAUAAAACAAAAGCAUUCUUAUAAUUUUGUCAUAGUCGUCAACCUAAUAGAAAACUUUCAAGCUGUGUUUCUGGAAAAGUGCACUUCAGUGCACUAGCAUAGUACAUAUAGUUUCUAGAUGCACAGUGGAGUGUUAAAAAAUAUAAUUUAAGACCCCUUGAAAAUCCAUAUUUAACGCUUUGAGCAUCUUGUAAAACAGGUUAUAAUUUUGUUAUGCAGAAGCAUGAUAACUAAAACAAAACUAAACAGUUAGUUUCUGCAUUUGUUUUCUCUGAAGUUUUAACAAUGAAACAAUUUUGCUAUAAACUUUCCAAACGAAAUGCACCAGUAAUUUUUUUAUUCGAUUUUCAGUGUGCCAUUAAGUCAAAAUGAUUGAGAACCACUACGUUAAGUAAAACCUGUCUACCAGAAAUUGUAGUGGUAUUGAAGCAAGAACAGCAAAAGAAGAAGAAAAAAAAAAUGACAAAAUACCACGUUCUAGAUUACUAAGCAUGGUCCUGGUUAGAAAACUUCCAAGAUUUAGUAAUUGUGUUAAGUUGAAAUAAUCAAAAUCAUUGAAUGAAGACCUGAAUCACUUUCAUCGUAUAGUUAAGAAAGAUUUCUUUCACUACUAUACAAAAAAGAUCAAGGAUAUACAACACAGAUGCAAACAACUGUCUAGUUACUUUUGCUGGAGUGUGAAGUAGCUAUGACAAGCAACUAUUGUAGACAACAAAAAAAAAAGCAAGUGAUCUGACUAGCAACAUUAAUAUCAAACUCACAAAAUAAAGGUUAUAUUUAUGUGUGCGCCUGUAUACGAAGUUGCAGACAUAGCUGUGUGGCUAAGAAGUUUAUUGCGCAACCAGAUGGCUUCAGGUUUAGUCACCUUGAACAGGUCUCUUCUACAGUAGCUCCAGGCUGACUAAAGCCUUGUGAGUUGAUUUGACACAUAGAAACUGAAACAAUAUUAAAUGUGUAUGUGAGUGUAUGUGUGUGAGAGAGUGAGAAAGAGAGUGAGUGUGUGUGUGUGUAUAUAUAUAAUUGGAUAAAGAUAGUUAUGGUUGGUCUAUGGGGUUAUUCAGGCUUCUAUGACCAUAAAGCACUUCGCUUUACAGUGUCUCUUCAGACCCUAAUGGCUAGUGGCCUAUAACCUCUCUUCAAAGUGGAAGGAGAAAAGGCCUUAUGGCUAGUGUCAUUAUCAUUUAAUGUCCAUUUUUCAUGCCGGCAUGUGUUGGACUGCUGACCACCUGAAGAGCUGCCCAAAUUCCCUGUCUGUUUUGACAUGGUUUCUACAGAUGGGUGCCCUUCCUAACACCAACCACUUUACAGAGUAUAUUUGGUGAUAUUUCAUUUGCUUAGUUAAUGGACAUCUGUUCAGUGAUAGAAACAGAUUUUAGAAACUAAUCAUAUGCUAUGAUCUAUGACAAUGAGCUGGGGAAGGAGAGAAGGGGUAAACUGCCUCAUCUCCCCAAUGAGCUGAAAAGUAAAGGAAUGCUGUCCCUCAGCGUAACGCCUCCCCACAUCCUGCUUCCAUUAUUCCAGCAGCCAUGCUAGUAGACUCUACCCACCAGAAUCCAGUACUUAUGUUGUUGACCUCUAUUUGCUGACCUGCUAUGUUACAGGUCAUAUAAAACACCAGUUUCUACCAGCAUCAGCAAAAAGGUAGACAUAGAGAAAGACACACACAUAUUCUUACUUCAAAAACAAAUAAAGGUUGGGGACAGAAAGAGCAUCUGGCUAUAAAACAAUGCAUCAGUAAUUCGUAUUUAUCUAAUCCAUUCUAACAUGGAAAAAUGGACAUAAAAACUGAUAUAGGCACACAUAUAUGUACAUAGGGCCACAUGCUCAUGCAUGCAUGUGCAUGCACACACACACACACAUGUUCACACACACACACAUGUACACACACACACACACACACACACACACACACAAACAGGCUUUCAUGCAUUUUCCAUCUAGCAAAUUUCACUCACAAAGCAUUAAGCAGCUCAAGGGUAUAGCAGAAAAUACCAAAAGAAAUAUGUCCUAGGUAUUGAACCCAAACCACAUGGUCGAGAAGUGAACUACUUAACCACACAGCCAUGCCUAACCCCCAAUAUGUGUAGAAACCCAGAAGUAAUAAGCCAAUACAGUUAAACAGGCAAGACCACAAGUUGGUUUGGUUUUAGCUUGCAACAAAGAUACCAUUCAUUUAGUCCUCUUUUACCAGUCAGUGAUAGGAAUAGCAAAUCCUGAUGAGGUUAAUUGUACCAUUCAUAUCAGUUUUGAAAUCUUUAACUUCAAGUUAAGUAACAUGCAUCUUAACCAUAGAAUUGACAUUCGCAUUUUUAUUACACUCAAAGUCAUGUGUGCAUCCGAAUGAACAGGGAAUUUAUCAUAUGAAUGUUAUAUUUCUUUCAAGAGAAAGUUUCUUUAAAGCUAAAAAAAGACUAAUUAAAAUGUAACAAGCAGGGGGAAACUGAAAAGAAAAAAAGUUUUAAAAACAAGAGAUUGCUCUACAUAAAUGAAAAUCAAAUUGAAUUGAAAAAUCUUUUGGGAAACAAGAGUAGGUGAUAGUUAACAAUAAUAAUAAAUGCAAACAAUAAUAUAAAUGCUAUGAUUUAUUAAUAUAUAUAUAUAUGUGUAUAUAUAAAUAAGCAUAAAGUUAUAGACCAAGUAUAAGAAAACAAGAUGUUUGUAUCAUUAAUAAAAGUAGCACAUGGCAAACCAAACAGAACAGUUUGCAAUUUUUCUAAAUGUAUAUUUUUCACUGAGCUAAUACCACUUUUAAAAAGAAGUAAAAAUGAUACCAGAAAGAUAUAUAAAAAUCUUCAAUUGAAAAUAUUUAAAAUAUAUAAAAAACAAAAUAAAGACGAAACUUAGCAAAUACAAGAUAGUUUAGCCAAAGAAAAUAAAAGGAAACCUUGUCUACAAACAGAUGUUGUUGAAAGCUAAAAGAUUGCUAACAGCUAGUUUAAUUUAAUUUUUUUUGCAUUUUCCCUUUUAAAUCAAGAGAUAGAGAAAAUAGGUCUUAAAUGGAAAAUAAAGGCAAGUUUGUAUUCUUUUAAGCUGUUUAGGGAAGGAAUAUCAAAGAAAGAGAGAAAACCUUGUAGUGAAAAUUAUAGUUUGCAUUUUAUUUAGAUUUCAGUAUCAUAAUCAUCACCAUUAUCAUAAAAUUUCUUCUGAAUGUUGCUAUGGAAAGGCACAUAAAUCUACAUCAAAAGAAUGCUGUUCUGAUGCCCAAAUGGAUAUAUCUAACAUUUUUACAUCCAUUUUUUCCAGUCUUAGAUGAGAUGGAUGUUUCAUUGGAUUUUUGUAGAAAUGAUUGUUUUUACAACUGAGUGCCCUUUUUAAUACUAACCACUCAACAGUGAGAUAGAUCUGGAACAUGGAUUUCUGUCAUACAUCUUGCUCAAGGAUAUGAUUUAAUAACAGUAGCAAGAUUUUGGAUCUUUGAUGCCUCAUGUUCCAUUACUCUGCUACAUGAUCACAACUACUGUUCUUGACAUUUCAUAGCCUUAAUAAUCAUUUCUGAUUUAGGCACAACACCAGCAAUUUUUAGGGUAUGGGGUGCAAUUAAUAUUAUCAACCUUAGUAUUUAUUUUAUUGAUCCCCAAAACAUGAAUGGCAAAGUUGACCUCAUUAAAUUUGAACUCGGAAUGUAAGGAGCUGGAAGAAAUUACACAAAAUGAUUUGCUUGAUUCUCUAACAAUUCUGCCAAUCCACCACUUUUCAUAACCUUAAUAAUAAGAAUGAAAUAUAAAUUUUGACAAAUGGUUACAAAUCUUUAGGAGAGAUUUAUCAAUUUGAUCAGCUUCAGUACAUUAGCCAGUGAGGGGGCCUUUCCUGUGGUCGCUCAAACUGCUAGAAAUAGCAACAAAAUCAGUCUCAAAUAACACUACCAUUUUUUUAUUAAAAGAGGAAUGAAUACAUUGGAUAAACUGUCUAAAAAGAAAAAAAAAAAAAAAAAUAGUCUUGGCUAAAAUGCAUUUCAAAUUUGUUUGAGUAGAAAUUACCUGGAGCUAAAUCUAAACAACAAUAACAACAAGUGGCAAUUAUUUCAUGAAUCCCAGAAAAAUAAAAGCAAAAUUGAUUUAAAUACAGCUUGGACUCAGAAUGUAAGACGAAUUAAACCAAAUAUUGUAAGGUGUUGACUCUUUUACUCUUUUACUUGUUUCAGUCAUUUGACUGUGGCCAUGCUGAAGCACUGCCUUUAGUCGAGGAAAUCGACCCCAGGACUUAUUCUUUGUAAGCCUAGUACUUAUUCUAUCGGUCGCUUUUGCCGAACUGCUAAGUUACAGGGAUGUAAACACACCAGCAUCGGUUGUCAAGCGAUGUUGGGAGGGACAAACACAGACACACAGACAACGUACAUAUAUAUACAUAUAUAUGACAGGCUUCUUUCAGUUUCCGUCUACCAAAUCCACUCACAAGGCUUUGAUCGGCCCGAGGCUAUAGUAGAAGACAUUUGCGCAAGGUGCCACGCAGUGGGAAUGAACCCAGAACCAUGUGGUUGGUAAGCAAGCUACUUACCACACAGCCACUCCUGCACCUGUAAAACUUACUUUUAUUCAUGCCAUUCCCUUGCUUUAAAAUGGAGUUCUAAUGCUGCAUUGUAUUUUUUUUUUAUGGUUAUUUGGUUACCUCAGUCUACCGAGACAAAGAAUGGAUGCCACAUUCAUAUCAUGAUUGAGUAAAUGGCUCUGAGAAUGGCGUCAUUUCUACAUAACAUUGAAACACAUCUGAUUAGAAAACGAAACGCCUUCUUGAAACAAAACUACAAAAGAGUACGCGAGAAGCAUCAUUUCUCUGCUGCAUGAAGUAAUUUUACCUGCAGCAGGUGUCAUCACUACCGCAGAUCAAGCGCAGGCCUUGUAGCCCACAUGUUAGCCUGCCAGAGAUCGUUAGUGAAUAAUAAGAGUCAAUGUCAACCUAUGACAGACAGAUGAAGAAGAAGAAGAUAUAUCCUGACACAACUACUGACACUCUACAGAGCUCAGGUGAAAACUACAAUCGUGUAUUUACUCUCACAUCUGGGAUGCUGCUGCAAAUAUCCUAGAAAGAAAGACGUCUAUUGAAAGAAAGGCCAAUCAACUUAGCUUGCAACCACUUACAGACAUUCUGUCUUUUCUUUCUGUCUUUACUACUUUUCUACUACUUCUAUCAUAGCCCAUCCUCUGCAGAGCUGGCUGGGUUUGUACCACCUCUCCUCAAGCACUCCUCAUUCACUCAUCUCUCCUCCUUUCAUCACCCAAGUUAUAUCCAACUAGCAGUAUCGCCCGGCGUUGCUCGGGUUUGUAAGGGAAAUAACUAUAUAAGCAUUUUUAGAGAGUUACUUCCCUUAUAUAAUAGCAAAAUAAUGCAUUAAAAAUGGAAAAAAUGAUGGUAAAUUUUUUUUUUAAUCGUAGACUCAUCGUAGACAUUUUUAAAGAGUUACCUCCCUUAUAUAAUAGCAAAAAAAAUGCAUUAAAAAUGGAAAAAAAUGGUGGUAAAUUUUUUUUUAAAUCGUAGACUCAUCGUAGAUGCAUGCUAAUACACAGAAGGGCUCGAUAUGAAUCACAACUAUAAGAUACCCGGUUUUGUUAAACUGCACCGCAAAAUGUGGGAGUAGUUAGGAAUCUAAAUCGUAGGAGACAGACAGCAUACAACCUCAUUUUUAUAUAUAUAUAGAUUUACAGAUUUUGCAUAAUGCCACUAGGCUAAACCUCUCCUUCUCAAGAUGUCAACCGUCUGGAGCUUCCUCCUCCCUUGCUCAAGUCUUUCCUGAUAUGUGAUGACUGGCAACAGUUUAUGUGGAACAAUAAUAAUGGCAUCAACUUCAUCAGUUUCAGACAGUCUGUGAAGGCCAUAGGUACUGCCCCUUCCACCAGACCCAACAAAUAAAAAAGAAAAUGAUUUAUAUACUUGACAUAAAAGCAAAUUUGUAUUUAAAUAAAUUACAGAAAGCGAGGGAAAAAAACAAAAAACAAAAAGCAACCAAAUCAUUUUCUUUCUCUUUCUUGGAGCUAAUUGUUUGCCUGAAUAUAUUUAACAUUAUUUGUUGCUUUAGCAGAAAUUAUAAGAAUUGAUACCGAGUAAGCCUGAAUGGAGUUCUAAGUCCUUUGAGAAUUGACACAAUAACUAAAACCUCAUAAGAGAUCUAUAUUAAAUGAACCAAAUAACUCUUUCCCAAUUUGUUAGUAAUACUAAAUUAAAUUAUUCAAGAUAUAUUAUUGAAGAUACUGCACCCUUCUUACACACUCAGCAAAUAAAAAAACAAAAAAAAGCAAAACAAUAAAAUCAAUAAUAAUAAUAAUAAUAAUUAUGAUGAUGAAAAUGAUAAUGGUUUCAAAUUUUGGCAUAAGGCCAGCAGUUCCGGUGAAGGGGGUAAGUUGUUUACAUUGAUCUCAGUACUCAACUGGUAUUUAUUCUAUCAAGCCCGAAAGGAUGAAAGGCAAAGUCGACCUCAGCAGAAUUUGACCUUAGAAUGUAAAGACUAACAGCAUGCUACGAAGCAUUUUGCUUGGCAUGCUAACGAUUCUGCCAGCUCACCAUUAUAUAAUGAUAAUAAUGAUAAUAAUAACAGUGAUAAAUGAUAAUGUAUACUGUCAAUCUAACAAGAACGUGACAGUAGGGUGUACACCACCGUUGUAUAGCCCUGGGAGGCAUCGAACGCCUCCUGACAGCUUUAACACAUUUUUUUUCCUGUGUCCUUAUAUACAUAUACGAAGGGGAGACAAACACCCCCAACCGCCGAAGCUGUCGAAGCUGUCAGGAGGCGUUUGAUGCCUUAUGGGCUAUACAACGGUGGUGUACCCCCUACUGUCACGUUCUUGUUAGAUUGACAGUAUACAACCAUUCUAUCGCCCCACCACCAUACAUGUCUCUACGAGAGAUUUAAAAAUUCAAUAUUUCUAAUGAUAAUAAUAACAGUGAUAAAUGAUAAAGGUUUCAAAUUUUGGUACAAGGCCAGCAGUUUCAGGGGGUGGGGGAAUAAGUUGCUUACAUUGAUCCCAGUGCUCAACUGGUACUUAAUUUAUCGGCCCCAAAAGGAUGAAAGAAAGUCGACCUCAGAGGAAUUUGAACUCAGAAUGAAAAGACAGAUGAAAUACCCAUUUCUUUGAGCUUACCACCCUAAUAAUAGAAGGGACAAACAAGGACAGACAUAGGUAUUGGGGACAGAUGAUUAGAUCAACCCCAGUAUGCAACUGGUACUUAAUUUAUCGACCUCGGCGGAAUUUAUCGACCUCGGCGGAAUUUGAACUCACAACGUAACGACAGAUGAAAUACCACUAAGCAUUUCGCCCGACAUGCUAACGUUUCUUAUUUCUUUAUUGCCCACAAGGGGCUGAACAUAGAGGGGACAAACAAGGACAGACAAAGGGAUUGAGUCGAUUACAUUGACCCCAGUGUGCAACUGGUACUUAAUUUAUGGACCCCGAAAGGAUGAAAGACCAAGUCGACCUCGGCGGAAUUUGAACACGAAAUGUAAAGACAGACAAAAUGCCGCUAAGCAUUUCACCCGGCGUGCUAAUGUUUCUGCCAGCUGGCCACCUUCCACCCUAAUAAUAAUAAUAAUAAUACGGUUUACAAAACUGACAUGGACAAAUUUAGUAUUUACAUAAAUUCAAGGAGGGAAAAAAAAAACAACCAGCAACUUGAUCAAAUUUUUUUUUUUAUAUAUCUUGUAACUAGUUGUUUUUUUUUUAUAAAUAUAAUUAACAUUAUCUGUUGUUAGAGCAGAAAUAUAAUAUAUUAUAAGUAUUGAGAUGAAGUAACCUUGAAUGAAAUGCCAAGUCCAUUGAGGACUGACAUAGCUGCUAAAAUCUCAUAACAGAUAUGUUCAAUGAACUUAAUAACUCAUUCACACUUUGUUAGUAAUACCAAAUUAAAUAAUUCAAUAUAUACUCUCAGAAUUUUAUGUACUUCUAUCUUUCCUACACUACAGAAAACAUACAUAAAAAUUCUCCAGCAAAUAUUUUAUACAAAUGAAUGCUUCUCAUAUUUAUAUCUUGUCAAUGUAAUUUAAGUGAUUAGUGGUUGCAAUUAGUUAAACAAUUUGAAUGUAAUGUGUCAAUAUUGGGACACCAAACAUUAACUGUAACAAGGCUUGAACUGUUGACCAUGCAAUUUGUAGUCUAGAGCCUUAAUUUCUCACCUACUGUGCCUCAUAAAUGUGUUAGAAUCAACAUUUGAUAUAUAUGCGUGUAUGGGUUUGAGAGAGUGUGAUGGUGUAUAUAGACAUGUAUAUUUGUGUUACCUUGUCUUGUCAUAGAAUGAUACUUGUGAAUAAACAUCAUUGUAAAACAGAGAGAAUCAUUCGUUACCAAUAUUCUACAAAAACAUGUCUGGGUAGAGGGAAAUAUUACUUGCUUGGAAACUGGUUUGGGUUGGCGAGAGGAAGGAAAUGCAGCCAAAGAAAAUUUGCUUCUGUAAACCCAUGCGAGACCCAUGCAAGCUUGGGAUUGUGAACAUAGGCGCAGGAGUGGCUGUGUGGUAAGUAGCUUGCUAACCAACCACAUGGUUCUGGGUUCAGUCCCACUGCGUGGCAUCUUGGGCUAUAGUCCCUGGCCGACCAAUGCCUUGUGAAUGGAUUUGGUAGACGGAAACUGAAAGAAGCCUGUCGUAUAUAUGUAUAUAUAUAUAUAUGUGUGUGUGUGUAUGUGUCUGUGUUUGUCUCCCUAGCAUUGCUUGACAACUGAUGCUGGUGUGUUUACGUCCCCGUCAAUUAGUGGUUCGGCAAAAGAGACUGAUAGAAUAAGUACUGGGCUUACAAAGAAUAAGUCCCGGGGUCGAUUUGCCCGACUAAAGGCGGUGCUCCAGCAUGGCCGCAGUCAAAUGACUGAAACCAGUAAAAGAGUAAAAGAGUAUACAAGUUUUUUUUCCAAGUUUAAUAAAAUAUACAGCAGUGAUGCCAUUAGCUGGAGGGAGAUGGAAAAGAGAGGAAAGACUGAUCAAGGAAUAUGGGGGGGGGGGUGGAAAGAUAUUCUGAUAUGAUUGGAAAAGUUGGAUGGUGGGGAAAAAGCUGUUGUCC